CCUACGGGAGGCAGCAGUGAGGAAUAUUGGUCAAUGGGCGAAAGCCUGAACCAGCCAAGUCGCGUGAGGGAGUACUGCCCUAUGGGUUGUAAACCUCUUUUGUCGGGGAGCAAAAGCCGGACGUGUCCGGCUGUGAGAGUACCCGAAGAAAAAGCAUCGGCUAACUCCGUGCCAGCAGCCGCGGUAAUACGGAGGAUGCGGGCGUUAUCCGGAUUUAUUGGGUUUAAAGGGUGCGCAGGCGGAUUUUUAAGUCAGCGGUAAAAUCGUGGGGCUCAACCCCAUCCAGCCGUUGACACUGGGGAUCUAGAGUGUGCGAGAGGUAGGCGGAAUGCGUGGUGUAGCGGUGAAAUGCAUAGAUAUCACGCAGAACCCCGAUUGCGAAGGCAGCAUACCGGUGCACAACUGACGCUCAGGCACGAAAGCGUGGGUAUCGAACAGGAUUAGAUACCCGAGUAGUC
rnacentral:rRNA from 1 species